CAAGUUGUUGAGUGACUUUUAAAAAAAUAGAAUACAGAGCCAAACCUUUAAAAAAAGCUAUUUGACAUUUGUUUUGUUUCUUUCACAGAUGACAAAUGAAGUUUUCUUUAAAGUAGAAAGUACUCUGUGAUUCCUUUGAUUAGACAUAAUCUGUGGCAUUUGUUUUUAAAUUUAUGAAAUUUGGAAAUUUUUAGGUUAUUCUACAAUUUAUAGAUUGCUAAUAAAACUGAAAAUUGCGAAAUAAAGGCCAAAAUGAAGAAAUAUGCAAGAAAUAUGUUAUAUGAUAAAUUACACAAAGGAGCAGUGCUAGGCUGCGUCGCUUUGACCCUGUACGGGUCUUUUCUUCUUGGUAAUCAUUUCUACAGAUAUUACAGAUAUAUUAAGCCGCAAGUAGAUGCAUCUAAAGCUGCAGCUGAAAGGGAACUGCUAGCUGAAGGAUCUUCAGAUAAAAUACUGUAAAACAAAGAUUAUCAGACUGUAGAUAUGCCAAGGGCUUAAUUAUGAGUCACAUAUUAAAUACUACCCUGAAUGUCACAGCCUUACUAAUUUUUACAUUAAUCAUCAAUAGUUUUUAAAACACAACUGCUUAGACUCAAUAUAUUAUAGUCAAUCUAUUCCAAGAACUACUGGGCUUUGGAAGAUCACAGACCAAAUGCUUUUGGGUCUAUAAAUAAAGGUUUCAAUUGGUUAAAGUCAACUCUGGGGGAGCAACCAAUAUUAAUAUACUUAAGCCAAACAAUGAAAUACACCAUCACUUAAAGGAGAGGAAGGAGGAGAGAAUAGAGAAGCACCCUACAGCUUACACCAAUCGACCUCUGAAAGUGUGUCUUCCUUACCACGUGACAUUGGCGAAGUAAAUUGUACUCAGUUGGUACAACAGCAAGCCACAAAAUCAAAAAUUGAAUUGAAUUGAGAAGCACUCUAAUGAUCAGGCUGUAGCACUUAAAACAAACUCAUACAUGAAAAAGAAAUGACAUACUUUAAAAGACCUUGUGGGUCAACAAAAGUUCUUGAAAAAAAAAGAAAAAAUCCAACUGCCAACAGCCUCACAUCACAUCUGAUUAAAGUUACAAAACUGAUUGCAGCUUAAUUUGGGCAAAAAUAAAAUUAAAUAGGCUAAUAAAUAUUCCUUCAGUUUUACAUGUACCACAUUGCAGGUCAACUGUCAAUUUUUAUUGUUUAUUCUUUAAAUAGCUAGUGCUGUCCUUAGUAAUUUUUUAAGCAUGUUAUGAGUAUACGGUUGUUACUUGAUUAUCACAAAUCUGUGAAAUUGUCUUAAAUUUAUAUUGUUGUUGCAAUUACUAAAUACAGUCUAACAUAAAUAUAUUUCAAUUGUGUAAUGUUCAUUUAUGUUGCUCUUAUUCUGGGUUUAGGUUAUCUACAGUUACAAUCUUUGUAUUACUUUAGGAUAAGCUUUAAAUAGUGAUCAUUAGUUGUUUUAAUGUAAAUAUUAUUUAAAUAAACAUUAUUUGUAGGAAA